rnacentral:ncRNA from 1 species
CCCUUGGAGUAUCAUACAAAUCUUAGUACCUGAAAAGGGAAAAGAGAUACGAUGAAUAGGGAA